ensembl:lncRNA SNHG14 small nucleolar RNA host gene 14
GGAUCGAUGAUGAGAAUAAUUGUCUGAGGAUGCUGAGGGACUCAUUCCAGAUGUCAAUCUGAGGUCCAGAUGUGUGGCCCUCCAAUAGGACAAAUAAGACUCUCAGAGCCUGGCUCUAUUUGGGGAUCCCUCAGUGACAACAUAGUACCUCUGUGAGCGUGCCUUUUCUAUCUCUCCGAAGAGGGCAUUAGCAUCCUGUCUUAUGAGUCAGUAUGCACUUUAGUAUGAGGAGGGCUGGAAUGAGGUCCUCCACUUCAGAAAAUAGGGUUGUCAUGGGAGGCCAGCCGCCUGCUGGCAAGGAAGAUGGUUGAUUCUUCUGAUCAAUGGAGGCCCUGCAGAGUCCUGUAGUCACUGUGGCCUGGCAUCCAUGGUGCACCCAAUGCUGGUGGAUGGCUUAGGACGAGGCAGUUGCUGUGGGAGGUGUGGUAACUGCUGGAAGGAAGAUGCUCAAUUCUUCUGAGCAACGAAGGCCACACGGAGUCCUGGAUUCUGUGUGGCCUGGCAUCCAUGGCGCACUGUGUGCUGGCAGGUGGCUCAGGACGUUAUCAUGGGACACCCGCCAUAUGCUGGCAAGGAAGAUGGUCAGUUCUUCUGAGCCACAAAGGCCCCCAACAUCCUGGAGUUGGUGUUGCCUAGCAUCCACGGUGCGCCCCCUGCUGGUGGAUGGCUCAGGAUGGGGCAGUUGCCGUGGGAGGCCCGCUGCCUGCUGGAAGGAAGAUGGUCAGUUCUUCUGAACCACAAAGGCCCUGCAGAGUCCUGGAGUCUGUGUGGCCUGGCUUCCAGGGUUCACCUCAUGCUGGUGGAUUGCUCAGGAUGGGUGCCGAAGGUCUUUAAGGUCGUCAGCUCACCUACUGCCCAGCCUGUGGUGUCAAAUGUCCUGCCUCUUCAAAUGUGUUUGGAUCGAUGAUGAGUCCCCCCAAAAAAACAUUCCUUGGAAAAGCUGAACAAAAUGAGUGAAAACUCAUACCGUCGUUCUCAGCGGAACUGAGGUCCAGCGCGUUGCCUCCAGCAGGGACUGUUGGAGUGAGGGAGAGCUUCCACUAGUCCCUAUAGGUUCCACCACCCAGGGCAUCCGCAGGGACAGUUGCCGUGGGAGGUCCGCUGCCUGCUGUCAAGGAAGAUGGUCGAUGCUUCUGAGAAACAGGCCCUGCGGGUUCCUGGAUUUGGUGUGGCCUGGCAUCCACGGUGCACCCCGUGCUGGCGGGUGGCCCAGGACGGGGCAGUUGCCUUGAGAGGCCCACCGCCUGCUGGCAUGACAGAUGGUCAGUUCUUCCGAGCAGUGGAAUCUCCAUGGAGUCGUGGAGUCGGUGUGGCCUCGCAUCCACAGUGCACCCUGUGCUGGUGGAUGGCUCAGGACACAGUUGUCAUGAGAGGUCUGCCGCUUGCUGGCAAGGAAGAUGGUCAAUUCUUCUGACCAACAGAGGCUGCCUUGAGUCCUGAUUUGGUGUGGCCUGGCAUCUAUGGUGCACCCAAUGCUGGGGCAGUUGCCGUGGGAGGCCUGCCGUCUGCUGAAAGGAAGAUGGUUGAUGCUUCUGAGCAAUGAAGGCCCCAUGGAGUCCUGGAUUCGGUGUGGCCUUGCAUCCGUGGUGCACCCCGUGCUGGUGGAUGGCUCAGGACGGGGCAGUUGCCAUGGGAGGCGCAGGCCUGCUGGAAGGAAGAUGGUCGAUUCUCCCAAGCAACAAAGGCCACGUAGAGUCCUGGUUUCAGUGUGGCCUGGUAUCCACAGUGCACCCCGUGCUGGUGGGUGGCUCAGGACGCACACUCAUUUCCUCUGCACCUUCCUGGUGUCAUUGGCAUGGAAGGAAGGCCCUUGUCCAAGAAGGAUGGUCUUCGUCUUGUGUGAUCUUUGAGAUGCCAUGAGGCCCCUGGAUACAAAUGGUGUGGGCUCCUUUGGAGGCUUUUGGAUUUCUCCUGAAUGUGGCGUUGGUAUGGAAGGAAGGCCAGUGACCGCAAGGGAUGACUUUGAUCUUGGGAGAUUUUUGGAGAUGGCAAAGUGCUUCUAAACAUGUUUGGCAUGGUCUCCUUCAGGCUGGUGGAUACCUCAGGAUGGUGGCGUUGGCAUGGAAGGAAGGACUGUGUCUGUGAGGGAUGAUCAUCCUCUCAUGUGAUCCUUGGAGAUGCCAGGAAGCCCCUUGACACAUGUGGCAUGGGCUCCUUCAGAGGCUUUUGGAUCCGUCGUGAAUGUGGCAUGGGCAUGCAAAGAAAGACAGAGGCUGCAAGGGAUAAACUUCAUCUUGGGAGAUCCCUGGAGAUGGCAGGGAACCCAUGGACACAUGUGGCAUGGGCUCCUUUGGGUGCCGGUGGAUCCCUUCAUACGGUAGUGUUGGUGUAAAAGGCAAACCCGUGUCAUGAGGGAUGGUCAUCAUCUUGUGUGAUCCUUGGAGAUGGCAGGAAGCCCUGGACAUACAUGGUGUGGGGGCUCCUCCAGAGGCUGUUGGGAUCCUCCUGGAUGUGGUGUGGGCAUGGAAGGAAGGCCAGUGGAGACAAUGGAUGAUCUUGUUCUUAGCAGAUCACUGGAUGUGGCAGGGAGUCCUAGGACAUGUGUGGUGUGGGCUUCUUCAGGUGCUGGUGGUGUUGGCAUGAGGAAAGGAGGUAUCUUCGAGGGACAAUCUUCUUCUUGUGCGAUCCUUGGAGAUGCCAUGAGGCCCCUGGACACAUGUGGUGUGGGCUCCUUUGGAGGCUGUUGUAUCCCUUCUGAAUGUGGCGUGGGCAUAGAAGGAAGGCCAGUGGCCACGAGGGACAAUCUUGGUCUUGGGAGAUCCUGGAAAUGAUAGGGAGUCCCUUGAUAUGUGUGGCAUGGGCUCCUUCAGGUGCUAGUGGAUUCCUUAGGAUGGUGGUGUUGGCAUGAAAGGCAGGCUUGUAUCAUGAGGAAUGAUUGUCAUCUUGUCUGAUUCUUGGAGAUGGCAGGAAGCCCCUGGAAACACAUGGUGUGGACUCUUUCACAGGCUGUUGAAACCCUCCUGAAUGUGAGGCCAGAGACAGGCAGACAGCAGAUGUAUUGCAGGGAGCUGGAUGACAUGGCCCUUGGAACCUGUGCACAUGCCUGCCUUUCUGAUGCACGUCCAUGUUUUCUCUGCACCUCCCCGGUGGUGUUGGUAUAAAAAGCAGGCUUACAUCAGCAAGGGAUGAUUGUCGUCUCAUGCGAUCCUGGGAGAUGGCAGAAGUCCCGGGACACAUGGAGUGUGGGCUCUUUCGGAGGCUGUUGGAUCCCUCCUGAAUGUGUUGUGGCCAUGGAAGUAAGGCCAGUGGCUACGAGGGACAGUCUUCAUCUUGGGAGAUCCCUAGAGAGGGCAGGGAGCCCCUUGACAUGUGGAAUGUGAUCUCUGUUGGGUGCUGGUGGAUCCCACAGGUGGUCUGGCAUGGAAGAAGGCCAGAGGCUGCGAUGGAUCAUCUUUGUCUUGGGAGAUUCCUGGAGAUGGUGGGGAGCCCCUGGGCACGUGCAGCAUAUGUGGCGUGGGCUUCUUCAGGUGCUGGUGGAUCCCUCAGGAUGCUUUUCAAGGUUUUUCUAUGAGUUCUGUUAAAGAGUCUGAAAAUGGAGCGUAGAAGACAUGCUUCGAUUUCCAGGAUGGUUGUGUUUUCCAGAGAGGCGGAGGUAAACCACUGGCGCAGCCCUGCCUCCCACAGAUAAUUCCGGGUGCAGUGUUUCAUAUCUAGACUUGGACUUCUAUCCUACCAUACUUCUUUGUGUGCAGUUCAUUGUGGAACCAGCACAGAUUUUCAUACGAAAGUUAUUUCUUUUUAACCUCAAAAAGUGACAGAAUGGAGUGUAUCAUGAAAAAGUCUGACAUCAAAACCUCAAAAUGUGAUAUUGAUUGGGUGAGAUAGAAUUCCAUGGAAUUUCAUUGCCAAACCAGUGAAGUGCUAAUUUUGACAUUUGUACCAGCUAACGUAGCUGUGAAGAAACACACCAAUACACUUCUAAGGACAGCAUAGACCAAGAUCUAGGUUUCAUAUGGAUGAAUUUAUUCUUCCCUUUGAGGCAAGACAAGAAGGAAAGAAAGUAUUGGGAAUAAUGCUGCCCUCCCAUCCUCAAGGGCCAGUGGGAACUCUAAUAUUGAUUGGGUGAGAUACAAUUCCAUGGAAUUUUACCACUGAACCAGUGGAGGGCUAAUUUUGUCAUUUGUACCAGUUAACUAACUUGGGAGGAAACAGAACAACACACUCCUGAGGGUAAAAUGGAAACUCUGAGAGUUUGGUUGGCGGCAUCUAUAUACCAUAGAAACAGAGCCUGGGAAGCAGAACAGUGAGACCCAAGAGAAAUGUUCCUGCCUAUACUUGAUUGGUUUUCACAGAAUUCCAUGGACUUUAACUGCUGAACCAAUGAUGCACUGAUUUUGUCACUUGUACCAGCUAACGCAUCUGGGAGGCAACAAAACAAUACUCUCCUGAGGUUAAUGUGGACCAAAAACUAGAUUUCAUAUAAAAGAGUUUAUUCCUUCUACUUGAGGUGUGACAUGAAGGAAAGUAAUGGAAAUAAUUCUGCCCUCCCAUUCUCAAGGGCCAGGGGGAAUUCAAAUAUUGAACGGAAGUGAUUUUGGAAUUGCAUGGAAUUCUCACUGCCAUCCCAAAGAAAUGCUGAUCUUGUCACUCUUACCUGUUUCAUUCCCUGGGGGCAGAACAAAAGGACGCACUCCAAAGAUCGGCAUGAACCAAGAACUGGGUUUCAUAUAAAAUAUUUUAUUCUGUCCUCUUGAGAUGUGACAUGAGAAAAGUAUUGAGAAUACUUCUAUCACCUCAUCUUCAAGAAUCCGUAGGAAUUCUCCCAUGGUGGACUUUACGGUUAACCUGAACAGGUCUUGGAAAAAGGACUUUAAACAUUCUCCUGUUCUGUGGAAUAAGUAUACUUUUUUCUGGACAUACACCUUGUCAGUGAGUUCCAUGUGAUACUAGAGUUGCAUAGAUUUUUAACCUUUACGCCAAUGAAGAUCUGAGGCAAACAUUGCCCCUUUUUUAGAAGUUUGCAUUUGUCACUGAUAACUGUAAUAAUUGAUCUUGUUGAAAAGCCUGGGAAAUGAAGAUCUGAUAUGUCACUUUUACCGGCUUCCUCAACUGAAAAAGAAUACAAUGAAACACGCUGAGAAUUUUUGUGCUUUCUCAGUCUUGCUGAUGAUCUUUCUAUGGGCCUGAAGCGUGGAGAGUGCCAGAGAGGCUGAUCCUCAGCAGUGUGGCAGAGGAAAGUUGGGUGCGACUAAGGGGUAUGCGGUGCCCACAUGCCACUGGGUCCUCAGCAGUACCACCUGAUUGGAAGUGAUAUUGGUGGAAGACAACAUUUUGCCGCUUGGAAUUCUCACCUCCACACCAAAGAAGUACUGUUUUUGUCAUUUGCACCAGCUUCUUUCUCCAGGAAAGAUCAAAACGAUGCACUGCAAGUGUGAUUGGUCCAGAUAGCUGCCUUAUCCAACUGCCUCCUUUGGACCACUUCAUCAUGGGACAGCUUGAUGCAAUCUACUUGACAAGACCCUGGAACCCCACACCCCUCAUGGAACCAGUGUCCACCUCCCAGUCACAGUGUGACCCCAGGGAACUCUUGCCUGCUUGCUUUAAACCCACCACUUAAAAGUCUCCACAGAAAACCUGUUUGAAUAGUACCCUUGACCCAAUAAGGGCAUUGGCCCCUGGGUGUCUCUCUCUCUCUCUCUCUCUCUCUCUCCCUCUCUCUCCCUCUCUCUCUCUCGCUCCCUGACCUCUGCGUGUGGACUCCAGGCAUGCCAUAUACCCCUCAGGACCUGAAGCAAAAGAAUGAAUUAAAGAAAACUCCAGAGAAUGAGCUGACAACCUACUCCCUGGUCAGUGGCUCUCCAUGCCUACCUGUGGUCUCUUGGACACCCUUGCAGAUGACUUCCUGGGAACUCUUCUGGGAGUGAAUGUUAUCAGCAAAUUCCCAAAACAACACCCCUUAGACAAAAAGCCUCCUCACCUAUGCAUUGCCUAGACCACCCACUAAAGGUGAUGGCCACAAAGAGGUGGAUUUGUUGAGUUGGUGCCAUUCCUUCUACUGCCAGCUUCACCAAAACAAUGACACAGUCUUCCUUCCGCAUGGAGACUCUUCUCUUUCCUGUGUUGCAGUGGAUGCCUCCUGCAGAUAAGAAAUGCUUAACUGAGAAAUGCUCAUGUUGGGAUAUCAUCGAUGAGACUUUAAUUUGGGCAUGGUGACUGUUUCCCUUGCUGCCACUUGACUCAAUCCCAGGAGCCUCAGUAGAGGAUAUAAUAUUACACAAGAUGCUCAAAAUGGUGGAAUUGCUCAGUGCUCCCAUAAAUAUACAUUUAUAAUUUUCAUUUGCCACAUGGUAAACUGAAAAAUACAGACUAUAUUAAAAAGAAACUGCAUGAUUUUUUUUCAAAAAUUCAAAGCAUAUUUAAAUAAUAUAUAAAUUAAAUGCCCUCCUCUCUUCCAAUUCUGUCCCUAUAGUUUUCCUCUAUUAAGUGAACUACAUGCAUUCUUUUAGUGGAUAGAUGCACACAAACACACAAGCCAUUAUGGGGAAGGAUCCACGUGUGUGGCCAUAUUGUAACACAUUUUUCUGCAAAUCACCUCUUUCAUUUAACAGCCCUUAUUCAAUGGCCUUUUUCUUUUUCAGUAGUACAUACACAUCUGUGUCAUUUGUUGAAUGACGACAUGAAUGUUUUGUAGAUAAAAUAUAAUUAAAUGUUUUAAGCAUUUCUCACUCAUAGAUAUUUAUGUUAGCACCAAAUUUCUGUGCAAUGAACCUCCCUAUAUAUCAGUAAUUUUGCAUUUGUCUAUAAUAUCAUAAUAAAU